rnacentral:rRNA from 1 species
AUUGAACGCUGGCGGCAUGCUUUACACAUGCAAGUCGAACGGCAGCGAGGAGAAGCUUGCUUCUCUGUCGGCGAGUGGCGAACGGGUGAGUAUAGCAUCGGAACGUGCCAAGUAGUGGGGGAUAACCAAACGAAAGUUUGGCUAAUACCGCGUAAGCUCUAAGGAGGAAAGUAGGGGACCUAAAUAAGGCCUUACGCUAUUUGAUCGGCCGAUGUCGGAUUAGCUAGUUGGUGGGGUAAUGGCUCACCAAGGCAAUGAUCCGUAGCGGGUCUGAGAGGACGAUCCGCCACACUGGGACUGAGACACGGCCCAGACUCCUACGGGAGGCAGCAGUGGGGAAUUUUGGACAAUGGGGGAAACCCUGAUCCAGCCAUGCCGCGUGUAUGAAGAAGGCCUUAGGGUUGUAAAGAACUUUUGUUAGGGAAGAAAAGCUAGUUUUUAAUAAAAAUUAGUGAUGACGGUACCUAAAGAAUAAGCACCGGCUAACUACGUG